CUCAAUUAAGUCCAAGUUCCAGCGCCCUAGAAGGCAACAGGCUUAAGAGGCAGAGGAGGGAUCUGGGGGAGGGGCGAGAAAGAGCGUUUAGAAAGCGAGAAUUGACUUCAGAGAAAGAGCACAGGACUGGGGGAGGGGCCCUCUGGUUCUCGUCUCUGCCCUGCCGGAGACUGGGACAUCCUUUUCUCUCCCUGGGUCUGUGUCCCCGUCGCUACAUCCCAGCCUGGAGGGCAUGGCCCAGCGGUUGCAUAGGUCCCUCGGUUUCUGCAGAGCCCGGGAGUCACCCUAUUUUGGUAAAGGUGAAUUGCUCCUCCAUGGGUCGUGAAAGAAGAUCAUGUCAGUGGUGGUGUUUCUGCUCGUCUCAGAAGGGAAGUCUGUGACCCGUGGGAGUUGCUGGGGAGGGCCUGGUCUGGGCCAGGCCUCUUCUUUGGGUUGCCCCCUCACACACUCUGGUCAUCCAGGAAGCCUCUGUGGCCCUCGGAAUGUGUAAAAGAUGGUGGUUUUAGGAGCUGCUGGUUUUGCAACUGAGUGCUGACGGCUUAUUUCUUGUUAAUGAUUCUGUCAAAAGUGUCUUAGCGAUGCUCUUCAGCCCUUCAUCACCCACCCAAAAAAGAUUAAAGUGG
rnacentral:lncRNA from 1 species